CUUUAAUUCUGGUCAACCCAACCAAUCCGGAAAUCAAGACUGUGUUGAAAUAAGAGAGCAGUAUGGUGGCAGAUGGAACGAUCUUAGUUGCAAUGAUUAUGAGCGUUACGUGUGCAAAAUAUUACCUUUAGAUGAUGAAGACCCACAACUUGAAGGAUGUCCAGAAGACUUAACAAUUGGUACCAACCAGG